CCGUGAAGCGGCUGGGGACCAUCCCCCGGCACGCCGACCCUGUGUGUACGCUCUGGUUGCUUCGGCGGGCCGUCCGCUCGUCGGCCGCCGGCCUCGGCCGGUGUGCGCCCGCCGGAAGACCAUCCAACCCUGUCUUACGGUGACGUCCGAGCAAACAUUGAGAAAUCAGCA
rnacentral:misc_RNA from 1 species